rnacentral:rRNA from 1 species
CCUACGGGAGGCAGCAGUAGGGAAUAUUGCUCAAUGGGCGAAACCCUGAAGCAGCAACGUCGCGUGGAGGAUGAAGGCCCUAGGAUUGUUAACCCCCUUUGUGAGAGAAGAUAAUGACGGUAUCUCAAGAGUAAUCACCGGCUAAAUCCGUGCCAGCAGCCGCGGUAAUACGGCGGGUGCAAGCGUUACUCGGAAUGACUGGGCGUAAAGGGUGCGUAGGCGGGUUUGUAAGUCAGAUGUGAAAUCCUGGAGCUUAACUACAGAACUGCAUUUGAAACUCUGAGUCUAGAGUGUGCGAGAGGUAGGUGGAAUGCGUGGUGUAGAGGUAAAAUGCAUAGAUAUCACGAAGAACACUGAUUGCGAAGGCAGCCUACUGGAGCAUUACUGACGCUGAUGCACGAAAGCGUGGGGAGCGAACAGGAUUAGAUACCCCAGUAGUC